GCUUCCUCGGAAGCUGUAGCUCGAACAUCGGAUUGACUGUCAUCUGAAUUCUGUCCCAAAAUUUGAUUGAUUCUAGAUGCACCUCCUUGUUUGAUUUUAUUCAGUCGACGUUCACGUCUAAGUCGAGCUUGUUCACUGGCAGUCGACAUGUUCGAAGUCUUUGAAUCAGCAGAAAACAGAAUAAAAUAAAUAAUUAACACCAAACUUUUUUACAGAUAUAUAUUUUUAUCAAUAUUAUAUUGGGAAAAAAUCAAUAAUGCUCACUUGAACAACUUUCCAAUAUACGAGGGGUUUGGGGUGAGAGAAAAUAGUGAUGCAUAAGUGUUAGAAGAAUACUGAAUUC